GAUGAACGCUGGCGGCGUGCCUAAUACAUGCAAGUCGAGCGAACAGACGAGGAGCUUGCUCCUCUGACGUUAGCGGCGGACGGGUGAGUAACACGUGGAUAACCUACCUAUAAGGCUGGGAUAACUUCGGGAAACCGGAGCUAAUACCGGAUAAUAUAUUGAACCGCAUGGUUCAAUAGUGAAAGACGGUUUUGCUGUCACUUAUAGAUGGAUCCGCGCCGCAUUAGCUAGUUGGUAAGGUAACGGCUUACCAAGGCAACGAUGCGUAGCCGACCUGAGAGGGUGAUCGGCCACACUGGAACUGAGGCACGGUCCAGACUCCUACGGGAGGCAGCAGUAGGGAAUCUUCCGCAAUGGGCGAAAGCCUGACGGAGCAACGCCGCGUGAGUGAUGAAGGUCUUCGGAUCGUAAAACUCUGUUAUUAGGGAAGAACAAAUGUGUAAGUAACUAUGCACGUCUUGACGGUACCUAAUCAGAAAGCCACGGCUAACUACGUG
rnacentral:rRNA from 1 species